GCAUAUCGACCACAGAAUAAAUAAUAAAUAAUUGGUGAUAAUAAACGUUUUCAUCGAUCGAAAAAAUUAUAGUCGCGUGAUCGUCGCGGAACAGGAUAGAGCUGAAUAUACGUUAUCAUUGGAAUGACGAGGUGCAGAAUACUUUAUCCAUCCCUAUCUACCCUGACACCUGCACUUUUGAUAUUUAAGGUAUCGGAAAUGUACGGACGUCAUAGUUAUUUACCUAAUACGACAACAACGUAUUGUCUUG